AUGUGUGAAGUUGCUGCUACCUUGGGACCAGUUUUGAAGAUUGACAUGAAUACCAUUACUCAAGACAAGGUCAGGGCAAAAGUGAGGGUGAGAGAUCAUGAUAAAAUUCCAGUUUGUACAAAGAUCACUGAUAAAAAUCUGAUGAUAUACAGGGUGAAACCAGAACUGGAAAUAAUAGUUGAAUUGGGAUGGUAUGGAGAACAAAGGAAACAUGGCAUUGAAGAUGAGGAAUUUUGCAAUCAGGAAGAGGAGAUGAUGAAAAGACACAAAGGAUCUCAUAAUCAGGGAGAUGGAACAAUAGAAAACAUCAGUUUGGGAAGUUUGAAUCUCAGUCAGUAUGAGGAAAUGAGGAAGAAUGCAGAGGAUUUGAAAGCUAUGCAGAGAGAUCACAUCAGGGAGAUGGAAGCCAGGGGGAAAGUUGAAGCUGGUUUAGGGAAAAUUUUCCUCAAACUGGAGGAGAUGGAAGAAGAGAGGGCCAGGCAGAAUGCCUUAAGAGCUAAGGAAGAACUGAAAAUUACUGAGCUGGAAAAAGAGAGAAAGCAUCUUCUGGAGGUGGUGAGCAAACAAUAG
rnacentral:rRNA from 1 species